UAGGGUACAACAUCUAGGGUACAACAUCUAGGGAACAUCUAGAGCACAAUAUCUAGGGUACAAUAUCUAGGGUACAAUAUCUAGGGUAUAAGAUCUAGGGUACAAGAUCUAGAAAAAAAUAAGUGUCUCACUUUCUUUUCCUGUCCACCCCUCCAAAACUAUAUGAAAGGGGUUUGAUAUCUGGACUGUUAUGAAAGGUGUUUGAUAUCUGGACUGAUAUGAAAGGUGAUUGAUAUCUGGACUGAUAUGAAAGGGGUUUGAUAUCUGGACUGAUAUGAAAGGGGUUUGAUAUCUGGACUGAUAUGAAAGGUGACUGAUAUCUGGACUGAUAUGAAAAGUGAUUGAUAUCUGGACUGAUAUGAAAAGGAAUUGCUAUCUUUGUUCAAAUGUUGCUGUUUUUGGUUUUGAAAUCUGAUUUUCUCCUCUUUUUCCUGUACAUCCAUCCCCCUUUCUGACCUCCUCUCCCUUUGAACUAUAGUUUUGAACUAUAGUUGGAAUCAGUCAAAUUAUUUGUUAAAUUGUACAUAUUUUUUUUAUUGGUCCAGUUGGUUUCACAUUGGCAAAGGUCAAUCAAAAUAAAAUUCCUAAACAAAACCAUGUGUCCAUGCAAGUAAAUUGUUUAUUGGACAAAAAUUCUCACGUUAAAUCCAUUCAUGAUUAUCAUGAAGCGUCACUUGUGUGUCCCAGUCUACAUAUUACUUUCGCUUUAG
rnacentral:lncRNA from 1 species